ACUUUAGUGUGUGUUCUGGUCGAGGUUUUCCACAGGAGGAUAAGGGGUUCUUGAGCUCAAACCCUAAUCAACACAAUUUCAUCAAAUUGAAGGGGCAAAUCAAGUCCAAAUCGAAAUCUAAGCUCGAAUUAGUGAUCACCUCCAUGAAGGGAUCAUAAGGCGACUCGAGCGAGAAGGCGGGCGAUAAAGUCGGGAGCGAUACGCGGCAUAAAGGGAAGAUCUAAGGUACGCGACUUGUCAUCCCGUUACAUUUAUGUAGACAAGCUUAGUUAAAAUAUGUGUAAUAUUGAUAUAGCGAAAAUGGUUGCGUUGGUAUGUCAUUAAGGUGAUGGAAUUCACUCGACAACUAAACGGGUCAAAAUAAAUAGUUAAAAUAUGUGUAAUGUUGAUAUAGCGAAAAUGAUUGUGUUUAGUAUGUCAUUGAAGUGAUGGAAUUCACUCGACAACCAAGGGGGUCAAAUAAAUAGUUAAAAUAAUAACGAUCAAAACAAAGACACCAUUUGGUAAAAGUUAUAACGGGUCGAACAAUUUAAGAAUAUUGCUUUUUAAGUAAUAAAAACUCAUGGCGCGAACCGGAAUAGGUUCAAGGGGCAUGAUGGUAUUAAUAUACCAUCAUACGAUGAUAAAUGGUUAUGUCUACUAACGGGUCAAAUGGUGUGUUAAUACCAUCUGACAGUUAUAACUGACGACUACUUGUUGAGUUUUCUGUUCACAGGAAAUAACAUAUGUUUGCGAUGUUUUAACUAGAAAAUUUAAAGCAAAAAGUAUGUAAACGGGUCGAUGCUAUUGCCCGAGCCAGGUACGCAAAUUUAGAAUUUUAGUAGAAGUGAGAUUUUGGUCAAAUACUAGCGAAAGUCCUUCGUCGUAACAUGAAGGACUAAAAAUUGACCAAAAAGCCCUUGAUGGGUGAAUUGGGUGAACGAACCAUAUGGGUUAUUUAGGAACUUGUAUGGUGAUUAUGGAAUAUAGGUAGAUACUUUAGAUAGGGGAUUGCGAAGUGUGAAAAGAAAAGAGGUAGUUUUAGACUAAAUUGCUUAAAUCCCCUAAACGGGUCAAAACGGAUCUAUGCGCAUAGCUUGCGUACUAGUUGCGUAAUUCAUAAGAAUUAUGAACCCGAGCUAAAGUAUUUGUGUUAAACGCAUUGGAGCAUGUAUUUUGAUUAGUUAGAAACAAGUUAGUGGUUUUAAACUUAAACGGGUCAAAAGUUUUUAGUAAAAUAAUUUCAAGCCGAGGGUUUGAAAUUCUAUAUUUUGUGAAGUUAGAUAUCAGGUUUAAACUCCAUAAGAUGGAGAAUCCAAAUACGGUCGUGUAGGAAAAAGAAUCACCUAAAACGGACUUGUAGAUAAAAAGUUAUGGUCAUUUGAAGUUGAGUUUUGUAAAAAAAUUGGAGCUGGGCAAAUAUGCAGGUCCAGGGAGUGGACCUGCCGGAAAAACGUCUCCCCCGCGGCACGCGACGGGGCGUAGUGGAUCUGGCGCGACACGCGAGGCCGCUCGCGGCCCGUGAAGGAUCUAAAUGAGUCUCUCGCGUGGCGCGAGAGACCUAGUUCCGGAAUUUUAUUUUUGUUUUCAAUUGUUUGAUAUGUUGGAACUUGAAUAUACUUGUUUAUAUGUUGUCAAAACUAAUAUUUAAGAUGGUUUUGACCUUAGGUGUGAAGUUGGUGUUACUCCGAAUGGCGAUCAAGCAAGAUUUCAAGAACCGAACGCGACACUUUUGAAGCUUACGGCGUUAAUAAUUUUUGUUCUAACUGAAUAUGGACAUGUAACUCUUGAUGCCACAUUAUGUAUGUUUUAAACUUGUUGGGAUGUUAAUCAUGUAUGAACACUCAACAAAACAAAGUUUUUGUAAAUCCGUAUAUUUUCAUUUAUAAA